rnacentral:rRNA from 1 species
CCUACGGGAGGCAGCAGUAGGGAAUAUUGCUCAAUGGGGGAAACCCUGAAGCAGCAACGCCGCGUGGAGGAUGAAGGUUUUCGGAUUGUAAACUCCUUUUGUUAGAGAAGAUAAUGACGGUAUCUAACGAAUAAGCACCGGCUAACUCCGUGCCAGCAGCCGCGGUAAUACGGAGGGUGCAAGCGUUACUCGGAAUCACUGGGCGUAAAGAGCGCGUAGGCGGGAUAGCAAGUCAGAUGUGAAAUCCUAUGGCUUAACCAUAGAACUGCAUGUGAAACUGUUAUUCUAGAGUGUGGGAGAGGUAGGUGGAAUUCUUGGUGUAGGGGUAAAAUCCGUAGAGAUCAAGAGGAAUACUCAUUGCGAAGGCGACCUGCUAGAACAUAACUGACGCUGAUGCGCGAAAGCGUGGGGAGCAAACAGUAUUAGAUACCCCGGUAGUC